rnacentral:misc_RNA from 1 species
AUAACGCCCCGUUUUUGUCGCAAGAUUUAAAUGGGUUCAAUACCCAAAACCGUGUCUACCUACCUUUGUUGCUUUGGCAGGCCGCCUUCGGGCGUCGGCUUCGGCUGAUUAGCGCUUGCCAGAGGACCACAACUCUUGUUUUUAGUGAUGUCUGAGUACUAUAUAAUAGUUA